rnacentral:rRNA from 1 species
GUUGAAAAGAACUUUGAAGAGAGAGUUCAAGAGUACGUGAAACCGUUCAGGGGUAAACCUGAGAAACCCAAAAGAUCGAAUGGGGAGAUUCAGCGUCCAACGGCCCGUCUGGCUUGCGUGCGACGUCACGAUGUCGCGGUGUUAUGCGCCCUCGCCGGUGUGUAUAUACCGUGACACGUCGUCGCUGCGUCAUGACCGGCGCCGUCGGCGUGCACUUCUCCCCUAGUAGAACGUCGCGACCCGUUGUGCGUCGGCCAAAGGCUCGAAGGGUAGACUAUCGCGCUCUCUCCCCGGAGGGCGCGGCAGACCCUCGAAAGCCCGGCCCGACUGCUCGACGGUAUUCGAAUAUCACAAGGUGUGUAAUCGAGAGCCGCAUUUGAAUGCGUUCGGCGCGUCGGUCGGCUUCGGCUCGCUCGGUUAUUUUACGGACCUGGAUGCCGUUACUGGGCGCUUGCCGAGGCUUUUUGUACCGACGACGAUCUCGAACCGGCUCUGCGCGCGCGAAAGCGUUCGCGCUCUCGCGCGCUCACCUGUCGGCGACGCUUUUGCUUUGGGUACUUUC